CUUUAAAAAAUAAAAUAGGGUACAGGAAAUACAAUCCAGGUAUUAGUCCAAAAAAUGUACGGGCAUGGAUUUACCCUCUGUACACUUUCAUUCUCUUGUUCUCCCUUGCCCACCCCAUUGCAGGGAGAGGGGUCAAGAAAGGGGAGAAACUGAUGGAGAAGAAAAUCUGGGGCUUCCCCAUUAUUAUUUGCACUUGCUGAUAGAGACUACUGAUUUUGGGGGGAAGAUUUCUGAGAAAUCAGGUGAGAGCACAGCAUCCUAGGAUGUAGUUGGAGCUUCAGAUUUUAGCGCCCCGCCCCCUACUUCUUACAAUACCUUUCCUGGCAGCUUUGGUGCCAUUCCCAGACUAGUUAGUUCCUUUUACAUCCGUUACCUAGAUCUAAUUUCUUCUGAUCAUUCGCUUGUUACAUAUUUUGGGGGAGGGUGUUGGGGGCCGGCGGUGCCGCAGACCAGUUGCCAGUAUGUGUGGACUCCUCUGUUUCGGUCCCCUUACUAAACGCGGUGUUAGAAGUCGAGCUCGGGGCGUUAUCAGAGCCAGCCACAAAUGCCACAUGAAAAGCAGCAAACAUCCGGAGUGGCUUCCUGCAAGCCUUGCUUUUCUCAACACGAGAGAUUUACGCGGGGGAGUAGGGGGGACAAACAGUUAUGCGAGUAAGAGCCAUGUACACCCGCUGGUGUAGCCGACCUGGUGCGUUGGCAUUGUACACUCCAGGAUCUCUGGGCUCCUGGCUACUCGUUGCCCUCACGGUUCCCAAGCCAGACUCGAGGCUUGGUGAGGAAGCGACUAGCGCAGCAAACUAGCUGUACGGAUUGCACCGGGGCCUUUGGCCAGAGGGAAUUCACCCGGAAAUGCAGAUGAGAGACUGUAGACCAGCCUACGGAUCCAACCAGUCAGCCAGCCCAGGUAGUCUUCCCACCAGGAUACAGCUGCACCACUGCAGAGCAAACUGUCUUGCAGAUGCUCUUUGGAGUGGCUAAAGACAGAGAGGGAGGGUUUCUCUGGGCACAAAAUAUCAUCUCCAGAAAGGUGCCAGCCUGGGAUUUAUGUGUUACUCCUUAACACAACCCAAGGAGAAAGGAAAAACAGCUUUACUUCAGUACUGAAAACUGUCCGGAAACCUGGAGGAGAAAUGCCGCAUGUCACUGUGAGGAAACACAAAACAGGAGGCAACGUGUUUGUGUUGGGCAGAUGGGAAAUGGCUUUCGGUAUUUCCAUAGGUGAUUAUAACAUCAUUAAGGAAAUGUGAGAAAGCCGUUAGUAUUACAUGAAUGCCUGCCAGUCUGUCUGUUUUAAGUCUCAUUCUAAUGGAUUAAACUACAGCUGCAUGUGUAAUUUUUCAAAGUAUGCAUAAAUGAUAUUUUACAUUGCAAAUUCACUAUUAAUCUAAAUAUGUGAUCACUCUUAAAUAUGCCAUUCCUGAAUUACCUAUAAAAUUAAGAUUAAAAUAAUAAAUAGAUGCAAUACCAAUAUUUUAAAGAAAAGAGCUCCACCAUUAUUAAUAGUAAUCACACAAAUCUAAGCCCUUGUAAUAGUCAGUAUGGUUUGUCAGUAUCUAUUUGGCUAGUCCACUGUAUGGAGGAUGUGUGCUGACUUGUGAGCCUAGGAUGCUAGGAAAAUAAGGAAGCUCAGGGCUUCCUUUUUUCGGAGAGAUCUGUGUAAGCACUAUCUGUGGGGAACUCUUGGCUGCUAAGCAAAUCACUCUGUUGUAUGUAUAGCUUUGUUGAUUUACAUGGUUCUCUAAAAGGCACACCCAGGGUUUUGUUUCAAAUGAAGAAUGUUCACAGACAACUGUCUAAUAAAGCUGAAAUGUUGUCGGGGAUGGAGAGAAAGGGAAGGUCUUUGGAUGGUUAGGUCAUUCUUGACCUCGGGGUCUUCUGUCUCAGCCUGAUUUGAAGAUUGGACCCUCCUUCUCAGUUCAGCUAAUGAAGGUGUGGAACACUGAUUGGAAGGGGGUAACUCCUAUCUCUAGUUUUAUAGAGAAAAGUGGUUCUUACUCCUGAGUGGGUCUGUAGGUUCAAGGAGCAGGCUUGUUUGCAGCCCCCAGAAGAUCAUGGGUUUUAUUUUUAUAAAGAUCUCUUAGGGACACACUGAAAAAUCCAACUUUGCAGCAGGUGAGGGACCCAGCUGGAAUCUUAAAUGUGUGCAGAACCCCAGCAGCAGAAGAACUGUUGAAAGGACCAUGUCUUUGCAGAUGAGUGAUGACACAUGACCCCUUCAGUUGCUAAGUUGUUUUGGGCUCUCUUAAAUAAAAAGGAGCUCCAUCUAGCAUUUUCUAUAACAGCUAGCACAUGGUGGUGUUCAGUGAGUGCCAGGCCUAGUUAUAAGUGCUUUAGCUUGCUUAAUUCUCACAGAAACCCUCUGAAAGAGGCCAGAGAGACAUGGCACAGCUGGAGGAGGAACCCAGGCAGUCUUUGCUCUUAACUGCCAAGCUAAACUGCCUGUGUUCAACUAUCCUACUCCAUGCCUACCCACUUUCUUUCCCCUCUUAGACCAUUUGCAAACAUAAGAUUGUUCAACAGCCUGUUCUAACGUGGGAGCCAUACCAAUUCUCUUAAACCCUAUUUGCUGAUGUAUCUAAAAAUAUGUCUUGGACUAUGGAAAAUGCCAAGGUACAGUCCUUUCAAUGGACAGAGAAGCAGGUGAUGCAAUGUGACAAAGAUUAUGCUUGAGUUGGGAAAGCUGAAUUCCAAUCUUGGCUCUUCUCCAGACCGGCUGUGUGAUCAGGAGUGGCUGCCCAUCUCUGCCCUUCAGUUUCCUGAGGCAUCAAAUGAAGAGCUCACCUAAAAGGUCUCUCCACUCCCUUCAGGCUCAAACACUCUGUAAUUCCAUGAUACAAGGUUUGAGAGAUUUGAUGAAAUGUUAAAGAAAGCAGCUAGCAGUUAAGGAAGAAUGUUAACCUAAUCACCAAAUUUAACAGAAGUGUUAUGUUUCUCCCUCCGUUUCCUGCCCACAAAUCCAUCUCCCCUAUGAUGGGCAACCAUAGGGCAGAUCUGAUGCAACCUUAUUUGAGAGAAAGUACUUGUUUCUAAAUGCUUAGUUAAUAGUUUGGUGUUUGAAGAGGGUUAAUAAAAAAGAUGGAGACCAAUAAUGCUGACAUGGAUAUAUACACACAGAUUUCUCUGUAGGCAGGCCUAAUAAUAAGUAGGAAAGUAUUUUGAACAUAAAGGUAAUUAAUAAUCAUGCCUUUGCAGAAUAUUUAGUUUCUUAUAUAGUCCGCUGAUUUAAAAAUGAUUAGAUGGAGCAUUGUCUUUCAAAGUCAGGCAAGUAUCACUAAUGGGUUUAAUAAGAAAGCAUAGUUUACUUUUAAAAUGUUGUAAUACUUUUUUCAACUUUUGGAUCUACUUUAUUCAAUAUGUAGCUUAUUACUAAACAAAUAAAAGUUCCAGUUGUGGAGAAAGCCUUAAUUUUCAAAAAUGAGGGAUUUGUAAGUUCAACCCUUUUGUUUUGCUACAAUUUUUAAACUGAUUAAAUUUAUAGCUCUGUUGCUCUUUAGCCAAAGCAAUUACUAAUUGUAGUCUUGAUCUCUUAAAAUAUUUUUUGAACAAGAGUUAUUUCUGAGUAUUAAAAUUUGGCAUAGGAUCUUACUAUGUAAACAUACCAGAUAGAAGAAAUUGAAUAUACCAACUGGGGUUCUAUAGCACCUCAUCAAUAUCUUAAAACCAAGCUCACAAUUAUUGGAACUAUUUCAUCAAACAAUUGGAGUGUGAGCUGCAUUUAUUCCUACAAUGGUAUGUAUAUCCAGAAAAGACAGUUUCCUAUUCUAAUAUGGAGGCUUUGCCCUUUUGACCCAGAAGUACCUUUCAGAGAAAACCUAAAUGGACAUGAGAGUCAGGGUGAACACAUACUUCAGAGACAAUAUAAAGAAGCCGGCAUGAGCUUGAGCUCUGAAAAGAAUUGUGAAGCUGCAUCCUGUCAGAGUUUCCUCUUAUUCCUGUAUUUCUUUUUCCCUGUACCUCCUUAUUGGCAGCAAAUUGACUAUUCUUUGGUACUGUUUCUGUACAUUCCUUCCCACAAUCUUUUCUCUUUUUAUUUUUCUAUCUUCCUUAUCUCCCUUGCAGUACCUUUCUUUCCAAGUAACUCACCUGGUUUUUCUUUUCUUUCCCCCUGAGUUCUCUCAUCACAGCAUCUGUUUUUCCCUUUAACUCCUUCUCCACAUUGCUAAUCUAUGAGAAGCAGCAAACCACAAAACUACAGGGAGCAGUCCUUGAUCCCUCAGCAAGAGAAAAAUUUCAUUUUUUCUGUGUGAUCAGAUUUAUUUAUUUUAUGUCUGUUUUUUCCAUAAAAGAAUCAAUUCAGUAUUCAUUCACAUCUUGAAUUAACUAUGAAGAGAAAUGGAUUUCUCUGUUGUUGGUUCAAUGAGAAAGCAAGGGAGCACUGUUUUGAUGUUUUCCCGACUCAACUAAUCCAGUUGCACACCUGUUAGUGAGCUUGAAAACCUGCCAGGUGCAGAGGAUACAUAACCCCAUACUAACACUCUAGAGGAGAAAUGGAAAAGUAAACAAAUACCUACAAUACAGUUAAAUGUGAUAAAGGCUAAUUCAGAUGGAUUUCUUAGUUUGCAAGAUGAAGUAAGCAAAUGUGCCUUGGCCUGAAAGAAAAAGAAAAUCGUAGAAGGGACAAGACUUUUUAAGAAGAAUCCUGAGAAAAAAAACAAUAAGAGAGAGAUCCACAAGAUGGGUUCUGCUAAUAGAGAGGAUAUGGACACUCUAGACAGAAAGCACCAUCUGAGCAAAUGAACAGUUUCACCACAAGCAAGGCUAAGAGACAGGGUAUGGAUUUGGAAUGGUAAGAGAUACAGCUGGAAAGGUUAGUAGGGCCAGACAAUGAAGGACUUCAUCUGCUAUAGCUUGGUUAAGAAGCAUGAAAGUAUCACUAAAAAUAGUUUAUAUACCAAAAAAUUGGACAACCUAGAAGAAAUGGAUAGUUCCUGGAAACAUACAGUCUUCCAAGGCCAAGUCAGAAAAAAAUAGAAAAUCUGAAAAGACCAGUUACUAGUAAUGAAAUUGAAUCAGUAAUCAAGAACUCCCAAAAAACAAAAUAACAGGACCAGAUGGCUUCAUGGUGAAUUCUAUCAAACAUUUAAAGAUUAAAUACCUAUCCUUCUCAAACUAUUCCAAAAAAUUGAAGAGGAAGUAAUGCUUCUAAAUUCAUUCUGCAAGACGAGUAUUACCUUGAUAAUACCAAAACCAGACAAAGAUAUUGCAAAAACAGAAAAGUAUAGGCCAAUAUUCCUGAUAAACUUAGAUGCGAAAAUUCUCAACAAAAUAUUAGCAAGCUAAAUUCAACAAUACAUUAAAAGAACUAUAUUCCAUGAUCAAGUAGGAUUUAAUCCAUGUAUACAUGGAUUAAAUAUCCACAGAUCAAACAAUGUGGUACACCACAUUAACAAAAUGAAGAUAAAAAACACGAACAUCUCCAUAGAUGCAGAAAAAGCAUCUAACCAAAUUCAACAUCCACUUAUGAUAAACACUCUCAACAAAACGGGUAUA